rnacentral:lncRNA from 1 species
GCAGCUUCAAAUACCGGCGAAAAACUACGAAAACAUACCACCUUCAAAGAUGUCACUAAGACGCGCGAAUUCAUCGACAAAUCCAUGCUGAUCAAAUUCAUUCUGGGAAACCACUGGCACAUCUACAUCGAGGCGCCUCCUGGUUUCGGCAGGACCACAAACCUGCGGAUGCUCCAGGAGUUCUUUUCCGUAGAGGUCGACUCAAACGGAUUCUUUGUCAACGCGAAAAAGAUCCUAAAAACUGACGAAACCUUCGAAGAUAUUUUACGGAGGCGUAAAAGAACAUCUGCGGAACAUCCUCGGAACACCUCAACAGAACGUGUAUCUUUCGAAACUGCCACCGAAAGCAUAUCUGUCCUCGUGAAUGACCCGGAGCCUUUUAGCGCCUCCACAAACGCUUUGACAAACUAUGAUACCUUCUCGAAGCCGCCCCUAAGAAUACUGAAAGAAUCACCGGAGUUGUUCGAGACCCACUUCGCUCGGCAUCCUGUCCUCUUCAUCGAUUUUGGAAAACUAUCCACCAAGUCCUACAACGACUACGUACGCACUUUUCAAAUAAUGGUCGCGAAGCUCUUCGAUCAAUCUAAAUACUUAUUAAAAAGUCACAGGCUGACCAAGGGCAAUAAGGAUGAAUAUUUACGCUUUCGUGAUCAAGUUAUGAAACUGGGCUUAGACGAGGUCGCGCACGGAGGAGAGAAAUUGAGUCAACUCUUGUCAGCACAUCAUCACCGAAAAGCGAUAGUUCUAGUGGACAACUUUGACGCACCCAUUUGCAAGGCCCUCUUGGCGCCACAUCUUGACCUAAAAAGCUAUAGGGGAAUUGUGUGGAGUAUUUCCCGGAUGAUCAAAGGACUGGUAAAAAGUAGAUUCGUCCAUCGGACUGUGGUGACAGGCAGUCUCCGAAUCAAAAUUACAGAUGGAUUGAUGCAUUUCCCCCUCUUUGAUGACGAAUCUUUACGUCGGUAUUACGGCCUCACUGACUAUGAUGUUUUAGAACUUGCUAAACGCUCUAGACUGACAAAUAUCGCAAACAUCAGGAAGUGGUACGGUGGCUACAAAGCAGCGAGCAUAGGUCAGAAUAUGUACAACACACGCUCAACGAUGAGUUACUUCAUGAUGGGUGUGCUCAAAUCUUACCGAUGUGAGUCCAUUAAGUUCAAAACCUUAAAAGCUCUACUGGAUUUUGAAAAAUUGGGCCGAGACGUAGAAGAUGCUUUUGAAGAUAAAACGCGACUCUUUAUCCGACCGCAGAUUCCGGAGAAUCUUUUCGACCUUCUGCGACGAGAAUUAUUUUCCUCCAAUCAAACCGUCCUCCAUAGGAGUCUGGUCCUACAGAUUCUUCUCGACUAUGGCUUUUAUACCAUUCAAGAUGGAAAUAAACUCCACGUACCGAACUUCGAAGCAACGCUGGACAUCAAAAACUUAAUAUUCGACCGUGGAUACUACAUCAACAAACUAAACAUCCCUGACCAGAUUAUUGACAACUUUGUGCAGAGCAUCGAACGCCUGACUGAAGAGAAAACGUCUUUUGACAACUUUUUUGCAGCCAUCACAGAACUCUUCAAAAACCGCGUGCCACAAGGUACACGAGAAUUGGCGCACACCUUGGUCACGUUAGUGGCUGAUGCUCGCAAGUUUAGCUUGUUACGUGGUCAAGAAGCUCCGGAAAAUGGCCGGCAGGAUGUCCUAGUGAAGCGAUCUUCGGAAACGGGAAUUGUGAUCGGGAUCCUGGUUGGGUCGAUUAAUGAAGAGGCGCUAAAACCUGUUUUUAACAAGAGUUUACAAGUGUUUUCAGACUGUAAAUUGACAGUUGCCAUCUUGUUAGGUUUAAAACCGCAAGGACCGACCGGAGAUCUGGACAUUUUGUACGCAUUUGACAAUCGAACUGUCACAAUGGACACAAAACAUCAGUGAGAGGCAACGCCCCAUUCCGCCUCGGUCUAUUUUUUGAAUAAUACCCAUUUGAGAGGGAAAGGUGAACGGAGCGUUUUGUAUAAUUUUGGAGGAGUGUAGACUUGUGCUGCCAGUGCCUUACAACGAGGCAAGAAUGCAAUGGAGAUGGCAAUGAAAAUGAGAACCCAAGAAACGCCUUCAAAUGGAUGAUUAUACAUCACAGCACAACUAUCAA